GAUGAACGCUGGCGGCGUGCCUAAUACAUGCAAGUCGAGCGAAGCGGGGACGGGUGAGUAACACGAGGAUACCCUCCUAUAAGACUGGGAUAACUUAGGGGAACCGGAGCUAAACCGGAUGCCUAUAGAUGGAUCCGCGCUGCAUUAGCUAGUUGGUAAGGUAACGGCGUACCAAGGCAACGAUGCAUAGCCGACCUGAGAGGGUGAUCGGCCACACUGGAACUGAGACACGGUCCAGACUCCUACGGGAGGCAGCAGUGGGGAAUCUUCCGCAAUGGGCGAAAGCCUGACGCAGCAACGCCGCGUGGGUGAUGAAGGUCUUCGGGUCGUAAAACUCUUUUAUUAGGGAGGCGGUACCUAAUCAGAAAGCCACGGCUAACUACGUGCCAGCAGCCGCGGUAAUAC
rnacentral:rRNA from 1 species